rnacentral:rRNA from 1 species
GGCGUAAAGAGCUCGUAGGUGGUUUGUCGCGUUGUUCGUGAAAUCUCACGGCUUAACUGUGAGCGUGCGGGCGAUACGGGCAGACUUGAGUACUGCAGGGGAGACUGGAAUUCCUGGUGUAGCGGUGGAAUGCGCAGAUAUCAGGAGGAACACCGGUGGCGAAGGCGGGUCUCUGGGCAGUAACUGACGCUGAGGAGCGAAAGCAUGGGGAGCGAACAGGAUUAGAUACCCUGGUAGUCCACGCCGUAAACGGUGGGUACUAGGUGUGGGUUUCCUUCCUUGGGAUCCGUGCCGUAGCUAACGCAUUAAGUACCCCGCCUGGGGAGUACGGCCGCAAGGCUAAAACUCAAAGAAAUUGACGGGGGCCCGCACAAGCGGCGGAGCAUGUGGAUUAAUUCGAUGCAACGCGAAGAACCUUACCUGGGUUUGACAUGCACAGGACGCCGGCAGAGAUGUCGGUUCCCUUGUGGCCUGUGUGCAGGUGGUGCAUGGCUGUCGUCAGCUCGUGUCGUGAGAUGUUGGGUUAAGUCCCGCAACGAGCGCAACCCUUGUCUCAUGUUGCCAGCGGGUAAUGCCGGGGACUCGUGAGAGACUGCCGGGGUCAACUCGGAGGAAGGUGGGGAUGACGUCAAGUCAUCAUGCCCCUUAUGUCCAGGGCUUCACACAUGCUACAAUGGCCGGUACAAAGGGCUGCGAUGCCGCGAGGUUAAGCGAAUCCUUUUAAAGCCGGUCUCAGUUCGGAUCGGGGUCUGCAACUCGACCCCGUGAAGUCGGAGUCGCUAGUAAUCG